UACGGAGGGUGCGAGCGUCGUUCGGAAUUAUUGGGCGUAAAGGGCAGGUAGGUGGUCUCUGAAGUCAACUGUGAAAUCCCCGAGCUCAACUCGGGAAGUGCGGUUGAUACUCUUAGACUAGAGUGCUGGAAGGGUGCGUGGAAUUCCGCGUGUAGCAGUGAAAUGCGUAGAUAUGCGGAGGAACACCGAUGGCGAAGGCAAUCCCCUGGGCCUGCACUGACGCUCAUGCACGAAAGCGUGGGGAGCAAACAGG
rnacentral:rRNA from 1 species